GAUGGCAGAGAGGUCACACCCGUUCCCAUACCGAACACGGAAGUUAAGCUCUCUAGCGCCGAUGGUAGUUGGGACCUUGUCCCUGUGAGAGUAGGACGUCGCCAAGC
rnacentral:rRNA from 5 species